rnacentral:rRNA from 1 species
UGGGGAAUAUUGGACAAUGGGCGCAAGCCUGAUCCAGCCAUGCCGCGUGAGUGAUGAAGGCCCUAGGGUUGUAAAGCUCUUUCACCGGUGAAGAUAAUGACGGUAACCGGAGAAGAAGCCCCGGCUAACUUCGUGCCAGCAGCCGCGGUAAUACGAAGGGGGCUAGCGUUGUUCGGAUUUACUGGGCGUAAAGCGCACGUAGGCGGACUUUUAAGUCAGGGGUGAAAUCCCGGGGCUCAACCCCGGAACUGCCUUUGAUACUGGAAGUCUUGAGUAUGGUAGAGGUGAGUGGAAUUCCGAGUGUAGAGGUGAACUUCGUAGAGAUUCGGAGGAACACCAGUGGAGAAGGCGGCUCACUGGACCAUUACUGACGCUAAGGUGCGAAAGCGUGGGGAGCAAACAGG